CUACGCAGAGGCUACGAUUUGACGCAGAAGUAUAAAUUGCACCCUGAGAAAGCCUGUGCGACUGUGUGAGGAUGAGGAGUGUGAAAGUGUAUCUCUAAAUCACCCUGUGGAUGAUGUACAAAAAAAAGUAAGCCACUGUCAAACAACAACAUUCCACCGAAACAACCAGGAAAUGCACGUUAAUGACAGGGAAAUGCUGCUGUCACUGCGAAUCUCUCAUAGGGGAAAAAUAUAGCGUCUGGCCGACAUUCGCAAGGAACUUCAAAAAGACCAUGGAAGAACAGAUGGCGAGACAACGGCGGAGGUUUAGGCGAGGGGGAGUGAGACGGAGGUUCCAAAAAAGAGGGAACAAGCCACCCUUGCCAGCGUUGAUCCUGUGUAACACACUCUCCCUGAGGAAUAAGAUGGACAAACUAAAACUUUACAAUAGAAUCUGGUAUGAGGCACAUUCUGACAUGAGCCUUGAGUUUUGUAAGACAGGGACUUUGUGGGACUUUGUGUUUAUAUCAAUAAUAAGUGGUGCAGGCAAUAUACCACACGUGAGACUAUCUCUAACCCAGAUGCUGAGCUAUUAUGCUUGAAUCUAAGACUGUUCUUCCUUCACUGGGAAUGGCAACAUUGUGAUUUGUGCUGUUUAUGAGCCCCCAAGUGGAAACACAGGCAGAUUUGAGCCAAAAUAAUCACAGCUUAUAACUUCUGUGUGGAUGCUGUGAUACCCCAAAAGACAAUAAAAGCGUAUCCCAAAAAAGGUCUACAUUACUAAGGAUGUCAAGCAUUGUAUCAAGCGCAAGAGGCUUGCCUUGCGGAAUAACGCCAUAUGCAAUUAAGAUUAGCACAGAGGGAGCCUAACCAGAACCAGAACCACAGCUAAAAGACAAUACAGAUAAUGUGCAGAUAAUGCAAAGAAAAUGUGGACCACCAUGACCUCCAUUACAAAUAUGAAUCCAACCAGGAAACCACUACACACAGCAGAUGAUAAUACUAUGGUAAAUGAUUUAAACAUCAUCUAAAUUAAGUUUGAUUCACAUGAUUUCUCUUUAGAAAGGGGAAAGUGUCAUUAACUCCAUACCAAUUGAUGACUGUGUUCCAAGGAUAGACAGCAGUUGAAGGGAAGUCACAAGACUUUUUGCCAAUAAGGCAACAGGACCUGAUGGUGACUCAGCUUUCCUUUUGUGCAGAGGAACUUACACCAGCCUGGGUCCCUGUCUUUCAAAGGUCUGUUGAUUCACACACAGCACACCAUCUCUCUAGAAGAUGGCAAUCAUUAAUCCUCUGCCAUUAUAUGAGGAACAGGUUGUUUUGGCAGAGUGAACCUGACAUUAUCUGAGCCUAAAGUCAUCAACACAGGUGUUCCUCAAGGAUGUGUGAGUUCUCGGAUUCUAUUUACAUUAUAUACAAAUGAGUGUACAAGCAGCCAUUUCUGGCUAUAGUUAUAGUGGUUAAAAAGUUUGUACAAUGGUGUGAUGACCAUCAUCUCAUUGUAAAUACUAAGAAAACAGAUCAAAUGAUUUUUGAUCCAGGACAUCUGGGGGACCAUUCUCUACUUCUGGUCCAAAACACUUGUAUUGCCCAGGUUCAUUUUUACAAACACUUGGGUGUACAUGUUGACUAUAAUCUGGCUUGGAAAGUCCAUGUGAAUUCAGUACUUCUUGAGAAGGUUCAGGGUGUUUGGGAUUGGAUGUUAUUUUAUCAUGGUGUGAUAGAGAGUGUAGUACAGAAUCGUAGCUUGGUUUGGUAACAUGUCAGUUAAGUUAAAAUCACAAAUAAAUAGACUGGUCUGCACAGUAAUUAAAGUGAUGGGGGUGAGGUAGCAUCCCCUCGCUCCGAAUGCUCCCAUGUUCUUUACUCAGUACGAACCGCUCCCAUCAGGUAGACGCUAUGGGCUUCCGAUUAAAUACAAGAAAAGCUACCUGAAUAUGGAUGAAAACUCUUUCAUCCCUUGAUCAGUGAAUCUCCUUAACUCGGGACGUAAGGAGGGUGUGAAAUGAGUGGCUGUGUUGUAUGUACUGAGUGUACUUAUGUCUGCACUUGAUUGUACUAUGUCUGUUACUGCACCAUCAUUGUAUGUAGUUGUUAUGUGGCAGCCUUUAUAUCCAAGACAAAUUUCCAUAGGAGCAUAUAAAGUAAUCUUGAAUCUUUUCUACUUUGUUUCUCUUAGACCCUUGGAUGCCUAGGCUCACAAGGUUUAUUUUAAUCCACCAACAUUGGCAACCACCUACCAUGUCUUUUGAAACUGGUUCUGUGAAUUUGAUGACCUCUUUUUAAA